UACGUAGGGGCUAGCGUUGUCCGGAUUUAUUGGGCGUAAAGAGCUCGUAGGCGGCUUGUCGCGUCGACUGUGAAAACCCGCGGCUCAACCGUGUGGUCUGCAGUCGAUACGGGCAGGCUAGAGUUCGGUAGGGGAGACUGGAAUUCCUAGUGUAGAGGUGAAAUUCGUAGAUAUUAGGAAGAACACCGGUGGCGAAGGCGGCCCACUGGA
rnacentral:rRNA from 1 species